rnacentral:rRNA from 1 species
GACGUAGGGGGCGAGCGUUGUCCGGAUUUACUGGGCGUAAAGCGCGCGUAGGCGGUCCGUUAAGUGCACAAGUGAAAGCUCCUGGCUCAACCAGGAAACUGCUUUGCAUACUGGCGGGCUGGAGGGACGCAGAGGUCUGUGGAAUUCCUGGUGUAACGGUGAAAUGUGUUGAUAUCAGGAGGAACACCCAUGGCGAAGGCAGCAGACUGGGCGUUUCCUGACGCUGAGGCGCGAAAGCGUGGGUAGCAAACAGG